rnacentral:rRNA from 1 species
UACGGAGGGGGCUAGCGUUGUCCGGAAUUAUUGGGCGUAAAGAGCUCGUAGGCGGCCUGUUGCGUCCGCUGUGAAAGCCCGGGGCUUAACCCCGGGUCGGCAGUGGAUACGGGCAGGCUAGAGGUAGGUAGGGGAGAAUGGAAUUCCCGGUGUAGCGGUGAAAUGCGCAGAUAUCGGGAGGAACACCGGUGGCGAAGGCGGUUCUCUGGGCCUUACCUGACGCUGAGGAGCGAAAGCGUGGGGAGCGAACAGG